CAAUAUCGAACUCAUUGAAUUCGGACGUUGCUUCUCAUUGUGGCUCAAACAUCAACUUUAACAUCCAAAAGAAGCCGUAUGCAGCGUUUCACCAAUUCCAUCAUUACCAUCUGAAAUGCAGCAGGAAUGGAGCAUUAUCCGGUUUUAAUAAAAUGGUGGCAAAAAUCAUCAAAAUCACCAAAAACAAAAAAAAAAAACCAGGA